AGAGUUUGAUCAUGGCUCAGAUUGAACGCUGGCGGCAGGCCUAAUACAUGCAAGUCGAACGCUUCUUUCCUCCCGAGUGCUUGCACUCAAUUGGAAAGAGGAGUGGCGGACGGGUGAGUAAUGUCUGGGAAACUGCCUGAUGGAGGGGGAUAACUACUGGAAACGGUAGCUAAUACCGCAUAACGUCGCAAGACCAAAGAGGGGGACCUUCGGGCCUCUUGCCAUCAGAUGUGCCCAUAUGGGAUUAGCUAGUUGGUGAGGUAAUGGCUCACCAAGGCGACGAUCCCUAGCUGGUCUGAGAGGAUGAUCAGCCACACUGGGACUGAGACACGGCCCAGACUCCUACGGGAGGCAGCAGUGGGGAAUAUUGCACAAUGGGCGCAAGCCUGAUGCAGCCAUGCCGCGUGUAUGAAGAAGGCCUUAGGGUUGUAAAGUACUUUCAGUUGGGAGGAAGGCGUUGAUGCUAAUAUCAUCAACGAUUGACGUUACCAACAGAAGAAGCACCGGCUAACUCCGUGCCAGCCGCCGCGGUAAUAC
rnacentral:rRNA from 1 species